rnacentral:rRNA from 1 species
ACUCAAAUGAAUUGACGGGGACCCGCACAACCUGUGGAGCGUGUGGUUCAAUUUGAUACGAAGCAAAAAACCUUACCAGGGCUUGACAUGUAACCGUUUUAUACCUUUUGAAAGAUUGGUAGAUCCGCAAGGAUGGUUAUGCAGGUGCUGCAUGGCUGUCGUCAGCUCGUGCCGUGAGGUGUUCCCUUAAGUGGGGAAACGAGCGCAACCCCUGUGCAAUGUUAAAUAUUCAUUGUGGACAGCCCCGCCUUUGGCGGGGAGGAAGGAGGGGAAGACGUCAAGUCAGCACGGCCCUUAUGCCCUGGGAUACACACACCCUACAAUGGCGAACAACAACGUGUUGCAAGCUAGCAAUAGCAAGCUAAUCACUUAAAUUUCGCCUCAGUUCAGAUUGGGGUCUGCAACCCGACCCCAUGAAGUCGGAAUAGGUAGUAAUCGCGAAUCAGCAGGUCGCGGUGAAUACGUUCUCGGGUCUUGUACACACCGCCCGU